rnacentral:rRNA from 1 species
CCGUAACUAUAACGGUCCUAAGGUAGCGAAAUUCCUUGUCGGGUAAGUUCCGACCUGCACGAAUGGCGUAAUGAUGGCCAGGCUGUCUCCACCCGAGACUCAGUGAAAUUGAACUCGCUGUGAAGAUGCAGUGUACCCGCGGCAAGACGGAAAGACCCCGUGAACCUUUACUAUAGCUUGACACUGAACACUGGUCCUUGAUGUGUAGGAUAGGUGGGAGGCUUUGAAGCGUGGACGCCAGUCUGCGUGGAGCCGACCUUGAAAUACCACCCUUUAAUGGCUGGUGUUCUAACGUAGACCCGUAAUCCGGGUUGCGGACAGUGUCUGGUGGGUAGUUUGACUGGGGCGGUCUCCUCCCAAAGAGUAACGGAGGAGCACGAAGGUUAGCUAAUCCUGGUCGGACAUCAGGAGGUUAGUGCAAUGGCAUAAGCUAGCUUGACUGCGAGAGUGACGGCUCGAGCAGGUGCGAAAGCAGGUCAUAGUGAUCCGGUGGUUCUGAAUGGAAGGGCCAUCGCUCAACGGAUAAAAGGUACUCCGGGGAUAACAGGCUGAUACCGCCCAAGAGUUCAUAUCGACGGCGGUGUUUGGCACCUCGAUGUCGGCUCAUCACAUCCUGGGGCUGAAGUAGGUCCCAAGGGUAUGGCUGUUCGCCAUUUAAAGUGGUACGCGAGCUGGGUUUAGAACGUCGUGAGACAGUUCGGUCCCUAUCUGCCGUGGGCGCUGGAGAAUUGAGGGGGGCUGCUCCUAGUACGAGAGGACCGGAGUGGACGCAUCACUGGUGUUCGGGUUGUCAUGCCAAUGGCACUGCCCGGUAGCUAAAUGCGGAAGAGAUAAGUGCUGAAAGCAUCUAAGCACGAAACUUGCCCCGAGAUGAGUUCUCCCUGAGACUUUAAGUCUCCUGAAGGAACGUUGAAGACGACGACGUUGAUAGGUCGGGUGUGUAAGCGCAGCGAUGCGUUGAGCUAACCGAUACUAAUGAACCGUGAGGCUUAACCUU